CCGCACGGGUGAGUAACACGUAUGCAAUCCACCUGUAACAGGGGGAGUAACCCGGAGAAAUCCGGACUAAUACCCCAUAAUAUGGGCGCUCCGCAUGGAGAGCCCAUUAAAGAGAGCAAUUUUGGUUACAGACGAGCAUGCGCUCCAUUAGCCAGUUGGCGGGGUAACGGCCCACCAAAGCGACGAUGGAUAGGGGUUCUGAGAGGAAGGUCCCCCACAUUGGAACUGAGACACGGUCCAA
rnacentral:rRNA from 1 species